GCCCGGGUGGCUCAGUCGGUUGAGCGUCGAACUCUUGAUUCCAAGCUCAAGAGGUGAUCUCACGGUUCGCGGGUUCGAGCCCCGCUUUAGACU
rnacentral:tRNA from 1 species